CUAGCUGUAAACGAUGGAUACUAGGCGUUGAGAGUAUCGACCCUCUCAGUGUCGUAGCUAACGCGUUAAGUAUCCCGCCUGGGGAGUACGCGCGCAGGCGUGAAACUCAAAGGAAUUGACGGGGGCCCGCACAAGCGGUGGAGUAUGUGGUUUAAUUCGAUGCAACGCGAAGAACCUUACCAGGGCUUGACAUGUCCGGAACCCUGCCCAAAGGCGGGGGUGCCUACGGGAACCGGAACACAGGUGGUGC
rnacentral:rRNA from 1 species